GCCGAGCAGCUUCCGCACGGUAAAGAAGAGAGGGAGACUCGCGCGCGGGACGCCUUCGAAGCUCGGCCCCGCGCCCCGAGCCCCGCCGAGCCCCGGCUCGCCAGGGCACCUCGGCCCGGCAGCGGGAGCAACGCUGGCAGCGCCCCGGUCCUGCGCGCUCUGAGAGCGGCUUCAGCUUUUUGCGUGGAAGAUGAUUCCUUCGGCGGGACCACGUUGUUGCUGACGAACCGUGGGGUCGUCGGAAGAUGCCUUCCUUGAGGAUUACACGUGGAGAAAGGCCAUCGGUCGAGGGGAGAGCUGGCUGGUGAGGCUGUCUGACUUUCUCCCCCCGCCGGGGAAGCGGCUUCGAUGGCUCCAUCUCCCAGGAGAAGCAGCAGGAAAGAUGCCAGCGCCUUGCCGAGCAUGUCUUCAACUUUCUGGGCUAUCAUGAUUCUGGCUAGUCUCCUAAUCGCUUACUGCAAUUAUAACAGCUAUUUUGGAGCGGAUAACCCUCAAUGGCUGUAUAUGAGACAUUGCCCGGGGUGCUUCCAAGAUGCUUUUGAGCUGGAGGGACCGCUUGAAGUUUGUGGUCAACUGGCUGCAGGUACAUGUGAGAUUGUUACUUUGGACAGAGAUAGCAGUCAGCCCCGAAGGACUAUAGCCCGACAAACGGCUCGCUGUGCAUGUAAAAAAGGACAGAUUGCCGGUACAACAAGAGCAAGGCCAGCCUGUGUUGAUGCACGAAUUAUCAAAACAAAACAGUGGUGUGAAAUGCUUCCAUGUUUAGAAGGAGAAGGCUGUGAUUUGCUAAUCAAUAAAUCAGGCUGGACCUGUACACAACCAGGAGGACGAAUAAAGACCACCACGACUGAAGACCAGCUGGAAAUGUCCUGAGGCCAUGGUCUACUUGUCUGAGCUUGGGACUGGGAGCCAGAAACUCCUGAGCUCUAAUCCCGGCUCUGACAGUGACUCCCUCUGUGGCCUUGGCCUGUCUGAGGCCAUGUGGUUUGGAGAUCUGAUCACUAGUCCGAAAAGGAAAGGCUGUUUGCAAGAUUUCUGGGGUGUUUUUUCCUGGAAAAGGUCUCCUGACAAAUGCAGCAACACAGAAUCCUCAUAGGAGUGGUUUAGGCUCUGUGUGAGCUACUUAACUUAGUCAAGUUUCACUGCUGUGGAUCAUCAUCCGUUAUAUGUCAUCAACUCAACUGUCUAUUUCUCUGUAUCUCAUGAAUGACAGCAUAAUUCCUCAACAUUAUGAGCUAAAGUUUGUUCUACCAUACUAAGGAUCAUUGGACUAAGGAAUAUAGAAAAAGAGAUAUGCUUGGGCAUUAGCAAUACAAAAAAGUUCAUGGUUAACGUUCCAUCUACGUUAUACACCACUGCUGGACUUGCUGUUACCUACAUGUUUUAAUCUCAAGAGUCUGCAACAAUGAAGAGUAUCAUCCCAAUCAGCCUUAGAGAAGACUGUUUUGCCUAUGGGAGGACACUGAGGUGCAAAAGAGAAACUCUUCUUGUGCCCUAAACUGUCUGAAUUGCUUUUAUUUUCUUAUACUUUCAGUAUAUACAAUAGACCAAAGAGCAAAAUCUAUUUUAAAGUGGACACAAUCUUACUGUUAACAGAGUAAUGUCAUUAAAUUGUAGGAGGUUUCCACAAAGACAUGAUUCCAGCUUUCACAAAGCUGGGAUGUUGUUGUCCAGCAGAAGUGCUUAUGGAAAGCUGCAGUAAAAACUAACUCAGAGACCUGCUCUUGAAAUGCCAUGUUCAAGAGAACAUAAUGGAGCACUGAGAGAAAAUGACGCGUGUUUGAAAAUCUUGGACAAAAAAGAACACAAACUGUCUACACGGCACCUUUAUUCCUCUGUACUUAGAUUGACUUUCUCGUACUAAAAUCAUUUUCAGUUUUAACCAGUUAAACAUGCCUCUUCUACAGUUCCAUUUUUGAUAGUUAAAGUUGGAUAAUACAGUAUUUGCAAAGAGCAUGUUUGGUCAUCUGUGGCCUAUGUCUCAUCUGAUACACCAUUUAGCACCAGAAAGCAAAUUAAAAAGAAAACAAAAGUAACACUUGUUUGAAAGAGAUCAUUAAAUGUAUUUUGAAAAGCCUAAAGUUAUAUAUUUAACAGUUUUUAUAUGUUGUAUAUUUGUAGAAAAUCCUAUUUAACAAUUAACGUGAUAACUCUGACAGUCAUGACAAGUGGUUCAGAGUUAAGUUGUGUUUUAUUACUUCAGUUGUCUCUGAAGUGACUGGUGUCGUUUGCUUUCUUCCAUUGGGACAUUCUGGAUGUAAAGCAUGACCAGAGAGGACUGUGUAGAAAAAGCAAAGAAUAAUGUUGUUUAUAUUACAUAAAUGCAUUCAACCAUUGCACUGUUGGAAGGCAUUUUUUUUUAUUUUCAUUUUAUUUUUAUUUUUUGUCUUUAUGUACUGAUAAAAAUAGACUGUAAAAUAUUUUACUCAUUGCUCUUCAUAGCAAGGUUCGUUUUUCUUUCUUUCUCUCUUUCUUCCUUCCUUUCUUUCUUUCUAGUUCUCUCUCUUUCUCUCCCCCAACUUUUACAUAAAGGUCAGUUUGAAGCCUAUCUCUUGAUCCCAUUUUCAGUGUUUUACCUCAUUCUUAGAAAACCCACUUUUGCGGCAUUAUUAAUUAGUGAAAAUUUAGCAAAGACAGCAUAGAUGAGGGGGAAAUUAUGAUAAAACAGAGAAACAAACAAAACCUUGUUCCCUUUUACUGUACCUUGUGGUACAUAAGUUUAGUACAUAUUCGUAUGAUGCAAUCAACAAGGGAGCUUAAUUUCUUCCUGGCAAAUGUACUAUGGUUUCAAGUAUACUACCUAAUACUCCAAUUAACUUUUAGUGUUAUGCUAGUUCUAUUCUACUAAAGAAAAUAUAUAGAGAUUGUUCAACUGACCAUAGAUGAAAAGUACAAAAAUGAAAAGUUGAUUAAAGACAUUUUUGUAAAGCCUGCUCUAAUACUGAGGCUUAUUUAAUGCAGAAGUUGCAGGAAACAUGAACUAUAGAUAAUUUCGUCUUCACGUAAAAUAAAUAUAUUCAAAAUUCUUAUUUAAUCUUAGGAGUUUGACCAGUAUCAAAGUAGCAAUUAAAGCCCAGCCACUUAAAAAGUGUUAUGGACUGACUGCACUAUAAAUGACCAAUGUCAGGUUUAAUAUGUCAUGCAAUAAAUGAUGGUAAAUACAUUUACUGUAUGUGUAGACCUCAAGAGCCAGAUCCCUCACUCUACCAACUCUCUGUUUUGAUUUACUUUAAAGGGAGUGUAGUCGCCUUAUUUAGUAAACACAGAACAAUUAAAGAUGUUACAUCGUUUUUGUUGCUUUGCAGUAUUCAGUUUUGUGUUGGUUCAACUAAAUUAUGAAAAAUAAAGAAAAACCUUUUAUAAGUGAGACUUUUGUUCCCUGAGCAUGACAUCACCAAAGGAAUUUGUAAGUAAGCUGGGGGCACAGAGAGGAAGACUUAAUGGUGUAAUGGGAAAUUGAGGGCAAGGAUUGUAUUUUGAAGUUUUACCCUUCCCUUUUCAGAUCUUGGGUACCUUCUUUCUGUUAUGCUCAGUUAUAGGUCAGAUUAAAGUCAUUUAUUUUCUGGAAACCAGAUCCCAGUAGACGAUCUAAGAAUGGACAUCUGAAAUCUCUUAUCUCUAAAGUCAUAUCGUCCAAUCAGUUCUGAAUAUGCAAGCUUAUGUCUUUGUUUCCUGAGUGCUUUAGAUGCUCAACAAAAGGUUGAACAUGUGUUACAAAGUCUACUCUGUACAAAAAUUUCAAAGACAAAGUGUUCUGAUUAUUUAUCAGAGACUAAUUCUAGUUGCUGAGUCCCCUGUGUACAACAGACACCUCGAGGCACUUAAAAUGUGUUUUGUACUUUUCCCUCCUUCCUCAAAAUGUACAGUUUCAAACAAACAAAAUAUACUGACUGCCUCUGUCACUGUGAAUUACUACUCUAAGAGAAGUGGUGAAAUGUUUCUCUCUCUCAGGAACAAUAUGUUUUCAGAAUAUUGUGAAAUUCUGAUUUUUCAAAACGAAGUUACAUAAAAAAGUUUUGUUUGUUUCUGAAAGAAUUCUAUUUGCCUCUUGCAAAGCAAAAUUUUAAGCACAGAGGGGAAUGUCUUAUUUGAAUGCUAUUAAAUAUCCUUCAUUUCUCAGCUUGCAAACAAGUAACUUUUUCAAAACAGACUUGAAAGGGAACAGAAGAAUACAGAAAAACACAUAACAGACUAAUAAAAACAACCUCUAGAAUGCAGAAAUCCUUUAAACAUUUUUUUUUAAAAAAAAAAAGCUCUGUUUUCUGUUAGCCCAGGCAAAAACAGAUGUAAUUACUGCUUUAAACAUCUGGGAUAUUGAAUGAAGCAAAUACUAACACACUAUAGCAAUCAGUAUGACACAUCAUUGACCAAUUUUAUAAUUAUGCUUUUUUUUUCCCAAUUAAAUUCUUCUCUGCAGUAGCUCACGUUUUACACAUGUAAUGCGGUAUCGUCAAUCAUUCACUUAUUUACUGCAACUGUACCCACAUGCUAUUGCAUAAAUUUUUAACCUGGGCACUUAAUAUCUAAUAUAGCCCAUUCAUCACAAUUGUGAGUACUAAUUAGGUUUUCCAAAAGAAAGUAAAGAAUUCAACACUGUGCCUGAAGACCCUGUAUGGCUGCAAGGAAUGGCUGUACUUGAGU